GUGAGGAAUAUUGGUCAAUGGGCGAGAGCCUGAACCAGCCAAGUCGCGUGAAGGAAGAAGGAUCUAUGGUUCGUAAACUUCUUUUGCAGGGGAAUAAAGUGCAGGACGUGUCCUGUUUUGUAUGUACCCUGAGAAUAAGGAUCGGCUAACUCCGUGCCAGCAGCCGCGGUAAUACGGAGGAUCCGAGCGUUAUCCGGAUUUAUUGGGUUUAAAGGGUGCGUAGGUGGUUUGAUAAGUCAGCGGUGAAAGUUUGCAGCUUAACUGUAAAAAUGCCGUUGAAACUGUCGGACUUGAGUGUAAAUGAGGUAGGCGGAAUGCGUGGUGUAGCGGUGAAAUGCAUAGAUAUCACGCAGAACUCCGAUUGCGAAGGCAGCUUACUAAGCUACAACUGACACUGAAGCACGAAAGCGUGGGGAUCAAACAGGAUUAGUACCCCUGUAGUCC
rnacentral:rRNA from 1 species